AUGGAUAAUGGCGGCAGAGAACCAAACAUUUCAUUGAACUGAUCUUUGUUUAUUUUCUGAGGAGAGAAACUCGGUAAUGUGACUCGGACUUUAGGCGGUAAUGUUCUAAAUUCGGAAUUCCUAGAUUUAAUGAGUUGAGUGGAAUAAUGAACCUCCAGAUGUCUAUGUACAUGUGUAUAUUAUAAUUAAACUUCUGUUGCACUCGCGCAUGCGAGAUUACUCUACA